ACGUACCCUUCGGUUCGGAAUAACUCAGGGAAACUUGAGCUAAUACCGGAUACGCCCUUUUGGGGAAAGGUUUACUGCCGAAGGAUCGGCCCGCGUCUGAUUAGCUUGUUGGUGGGGUAACGGCCUACCAAGGCGACGAUCAGUAGCUGGUCUGAGAGGAUGAUCAGCCACACUGGGACUGAGACACGGCCCAGACUCCUACGGGAGGCAGCAGUGGGGAAUAUUGGACAAUGGGCGCAAGCCUGAUCCAGCCAUGCCGCGUGAGUGAUGAAGGCCUUAGGGUUGUAAAGCUCUUUUGUCCGGGACGAUAAUGACGGUACCGGAAGAAUAAGCCCCGGCUAACUUCGUGCCAGCAGCCGCGGUAAUACGAAGGGGGCUAGCGUUGCUCGGAAUCACUGGGCGUAAAGGGCGCGUAGGCGGCCGAUUAAGUCGAGGGUGAAAGCCUGUGGCUCAACCACAGAAUUGCCUUCGAUACUGAUUGGCUUGAGACCGGAAGAGGACAGCGGAACUGCGAGU
rnacentral:rRNA from 1 species